AGCAGCCGCGGUAAUUCCAGCUCCAAUAGCGUAUAUUAAAGUUGUUGCAGUUAAAAAGCUCGUAGUUGAAUUUCGGGAUCAGUAGGUUGGUCAUGCCUUUGGUAUGUACUGGCCUCACUGAUUCCUCCCUCUUGAAGAACUGUAAUGUUAUUAAUUUGGUGUUGCGGGGAAUCAGGACUGUUACUUUGAAAAAAUUAGAGUGUUUAAAGCAGGCUUACGCUUGAAUACAUUAGCAUGGAAUAAUGAAAUAGGACGUUUGAUCCUAUUUUGUUGGUUUCUAGGAUUGACGUAAUGAUUAAUAGGGAUAGUUGGGGGCAUUAGUAUUCAAUUGUCAGAGGUGAAAUUCUUGGAUUUAUUGAAGACUAACUACUGCGAAAGCAUUUGCCAAGGAUGUUUUCAUUAAUCAAGAACGAAAGUUAGGGGAUCGAAGACGAUCAGAUACCGUCGUAGUCUUAACCAUAAACUAUGCCGACUAGGGAUCGGAUGAUGUUAAUUUUUUAAUGACUCAUUCGGCGCCUUA
rnacentral:sRNA from 1 species